rnacentral:lncRNA from 1 species
UAUUUAAAAUAUAAUAAAAUUUGAUUAGUUACGAUUUAAUAUUUCCCUUAAUUAUUUAUUUUAUACAUUUAAAAUAUGAUGAAUAUUGAUGAAUUAAGUAUUUAUAUAUUUUUUUACUUUAUAAUUUUACUAUUUUAUUACUAUAAUUUAUGUAUAAAUAAUUUAGUUGUUUUAGAUUAAGUUUUUUAAUCAUAUAGAAAUAUAAUUAUAUUAUUUUUAUUCAUUAUAUUAUAAUUUAUUGUUUAUUAAGUUAUUUAUUAUUUAUACAUAAUUAUAGCUUUGGAUCAUUCAGUUUUUACCAAACAAACAACAUGCUUGAAAAAACUUCACUUCCAUAGCUAUGAAAUAAACAGUAGGGGAGAAGUAGUUUUCACUUAACUUCACUUCAACCCAAAGUUCUAU